rnacentral:rRNA from 1 species
CCUACGGGUGGCAGCAGUGGGGAAUAUUGCGCAAUGGGCGAAAGCCUGACGCAGCGACGCCGCGUGAGGGAUGAAGGUCUUCGGAUCGUAAACCUCUGUCAGCAGUGAAGAACGGUCACUGUGCUAAUCAGCAGUGAAUUGACGGUACCUGCAAAGGAAGCACCGGCUAACUCCGUGCCAGCAGCCGCGGUAAUACGGAGGGUGCGAGCGUUAAUCGGAAUUACUGGGCGUAAAGCGCUCGUAGGCGGUAUGUCAAGUCAAGGGUGAAAUCCCCGCGCUCAACGUGGGAACUGCCUUUGAAACUGGCAAACUGGAGUGUGUGAGAGGAGAGUGGAAUUCCAGGUGUAGGAGUGAAAUCCGUAGAUAUCUGGAGGAACAUCAGUGGCGAAGGCGACUAUCUGGAACAUAACUGACGCUGAGGAGCGAAAGCGUGGGUAGCAAACAGGAUUAGAUACCCUAGUAGUC